rnacentral:tRNA from 1 species
GCCUUCGUGGUAUAGUGGUCAGCACACUCGGCGCAUAUUCAUGAGGUCCGUGGUUCGAGUCCAGGCGAAGGCA